UACAGGGGGGGCAAGCGUUGUUCGGAAUUACUGGGCGUAAAGGGCUCGUAGGUGGCCGACUAAGUCAGACGUGAAAUCCCUCAGCUUAACUGGGGAACUGCGUCUGAUACUGGAUGGCUUGAGUUUGGGAGAGGGAUGCGGAAUUCCAGGUGUAGCGGUGAAAUGCGUUGAUAUCCGAAGGAACACCGGUGGCGAAAGCGGCUCACUGGGUCUUUUCUGACGCUGAUGCACGAAAGCUAGGGGAGCAAACGGG
rnacentral:rRNA from 1 species